rnacentral:rRNA from 1 species
GAUGAACGCUGGCGGCGUGCCUAAUACAUGCAAGUCGAGCGAACAGACGAGGAGCUUGCUCCUCUGAUGUUAGCGGCGGACGGGUGAGUAACACGUGGAUAACCUACCUAUAAGACUGGGAUAACUUCGGGAAACCGGAGCUAAUACCGGAUAACAUGCUGAACCGCAUGGUUCAACAGUGAAAGACGGUCUUGCUGUCACUUAUAGAUGGAUCCGCGCCGCAUUAGCUAGUUGGUAAGGUAACGGCUUACCAAGGCAACGAUGCGUAGCCGACCUGAGAGGGUGAUCGGCCACACUGGAACUGAGACACGGUCCAGACUCCUACGGGAGGCAGCAGUAGGGAAUCUUCCGCAAUGGGCGAAAGCCUGACGGAGCAACGCCGCGUGAGUGAAGAAGGUCUUCGGAUCGUAAAACUCUGUUAUUAGGGAAGAACAAAUGUGUAAGUAACUAUGCACGUCUUGACGGUACCUAAUCAGAAAGCCACGGCUAACUACGUG